UGUAUGAUUAUUUGCUCCAGCACUUUCUGGGGUCUGAAACUGUGUUGCUUUGUCUAAAACUCACCAGUGCCCCUUUUCCUAAUUUAUAGGUCCUCUACAAGCCCUCAGCGAAAACUGCUAAUGGCUCUGAGCCCACUUCUGGCCCUUUGCUAACCAUCCCAGGCAGCUGCGGAAUAAGCUCUCACACCACGUCAAUGAGGGUCAUAAAGCACCAUCAGUACUUCCUUGCUUCUCACAAAAGACUACAGGAAGAAACUUUGAGAAGUUACCUGUUCUCUUUUAUUCUGACUGAACUGAAUUCUUGUUCAUCCACACAGGAGAAAGGGACCUACUUCUUUGAGGGGGGUAGCAAUUCGUUAUGCCUCACACUCACCGUUGGGUACCCAUCUUUCUGAUGACCAGCUACACAGUUUAGAUUAUCUGAAUGCCACGCACUGAUUCCCAACGAAGGCAAGGACACACCGGUACCUGACUGGAGGAGUGAGCAAAGAAACUUUACACCAAACUGCAGAUGUCCUGAUUGAUGCAAACAUACAAAAAUCAAGCACAGAAAUACAGUUUGCACUGUGAGUGCGGGUGUACCCACAGCUCACAUCAGCAUUUGCAGCACAGGACUGAAGGAGUGAAGCUACUGUAACUGAGCCCAUUUAACAGACCCUAUAUUCUCAUUUGUGGGAAGUGACAUGGAGGAAACUCAGAAGCACUGUACAGCCUGACAAAAUGAUUUCUCUCUUUAUGAUCUGAAAAGGAAACCAUGACCCAUUUUUCCAAAAGCAAUAUUAAAAAAGGCAGAGCAACAUGACACGAGCAAUACAAAACUGGCCAUCUUUGGUUUAAAGAGUUGCUAUUUCAAACCUCCCAGCUAUUUCCCAUGUUUGUGAUUGCCCCCAAGAGACCAACAAAAGGCAUGAAGGAGGUGUGUGGUUUGGCAUGACAAGUUCUUCUCUGUACACAGCGUCCAGGAGGAGUGUCAUUCUUGUGAAAUUUACAAAAAGACCCGAGAUCAAAACCAAGCUAUGAAAUAAAACUGGGCAAAACAAUCCCAAACUAUGAAAAGAAAUAUCCCCUGCCAGUGAGUAUGGCUCUGUGUUACCCAGACAGAGAACCUUCCCACCAACGUGUGAAUGACACCCCUUUCCCAGCUUAGGGAUCUGCAUUUUAAGGCUGGUUUAGCCCCUCUCUGGGGAAGGGGUGCAGUCUCCUCUGCCAACAGCCCAUGGGCUGAGCUCAUGGCUCCCUCAGGCUACAGUUCACAGCCCGCUUGCCUUCAGUAUUGACAUGCUCACACUUGGCGGUAUUAUUCGGAGGUUUGGGUCUGAUGAGUGUAUUUAUAUGGCUGACACCCAGACCUACUUGCCUAUUCCUGCGGAUUCCCGUGAAGUGCUGUCAUGGCUUAUUACCUGUCUAUCUGCCUGCAAGCCUGGGUGACUUUUAAUUUUUUUGAAGCUUAAUGCUGGGAAAACAGAAUCGCUUCACAUUGGUUCAGUUCACCUCCUGAAUGUACAGAUUUAUGAUAUAUAAUACUGUAUCACACACAGUUUAGGAUCUGGUUUCACUGCUAGGCUCUUAAAAAUAGCCUUAUUUUAUCAGAAAUAAACCUUUUUAUCAAGAGAAGGUAAAACACCAUCAGAUUUGGGAAACUUCUGCAGCUAUUGCUCCAUGUUGCUUGUCAGGCUGAGGAGCCCUUGUUCAUGCCUUGGUCUAAUCCAGAGUUGUGUACCGUAGCUCAGUGAUAAUUGGAAACUCUUCUCACUCGAGCAUUUUCAGCUGUUGUAAAAGUCUGCAGCUAAUGUCAUAACAAGAAUUAAACUGUCUCAUCAUAUUACACCCGCCUUAGCUGACUUCGCUGGCUAUUAAGGUGACAGCACAUUGAUUUAAAAUUUGUGUUAAUUGUUUACCCCUUCUUGCAGAGGCUUUCUUGGGGUUUUGUAGCGACCUGCAGGCUUUCUUUAGUUGUGGAUUAUCUUUGUGUUCAGCUUCAUAUGGACUUACAAAAAAAUCCUCUUUGUCUGGAUCAUACCAUGUAAUAACCUCAGCCCAUGGAAUUCUUUGGCAUAUGUAUUCCCUGCAUGGGUCACUUUUAGAAAUAAGCUAAUGGGGAGGGCUCGGCUGGUUUUCAUAUUACAAGGCUUAAAGAUACUUUUUUCCCCUCUCUUAUUUUUAUUUAUAUUUGCUCUUUUCAGUUUUAAUUUUUUUUCUACUAAUAGCAGGGGGGGGAUGUUUUAUAUAAACAAAUGUACCCUGCUAACAAAACCUGUGGAUUUAUGGGUUUAACAAAGAAAGUGGGCUGUACUACCCCCAAAACAGACCUUACAGACAAUCAUCCUCAGGCUUCCACUUCUGGAUUGAAUAAAUUGAUCCCAA